rnacentral:rRNA from 1 species
AGCGAACGCUGGCGGCGUGGAUAAGGCAUGCAAGUCGAGCGGUAAGGCCCUUUCGGGGGUACACGAGCGGCGAACGGGUGAGUAACACGUGGGUGACCUGCCCUCAGCUCUGGGAUAAGCCUGGGAAACCGGGUCUAAUACUGGAUAUGACUCCAUGACGCAUGUUGUGGGGUGGAAAGCCUUGUGCGGCUGAGGAUGGGCCCGCGGCCUAUCAGCUUGUUGGUGGGGUGAUGGCCUACCAAGGCGA